rnacentral:rRNA from 1 species
CCUACGGGAGGCUGCAGUGGGGAAUAUUGGACAAUGGGCGAAAGCCUGAUCCAGCCAUGCCGCGUGUGUGAAGAAGGCCUUCGGGUUGUAAAGCACUUUCAGUGGGGAAGAAAGCCUUGGGGCUAAUACCCUCGAGGAAGGACAUCACCCACAGAAGAAGCACCGGCUAACUCCGUGCCAGCAGCCGCGGUAAUACGGAGGGUGCGAGCGUUAAUCGGAAUUACUGGGCGUAAAGCGCGCGUAGGCGGUCUGAUAAGCCGGUUGUGAAAGCCCCGGGCUCAACCUGGGAACGGCAUCCGGAACUGUCAGGCUAGAGUGCAGGAGAGGAAGGUAGAAUUCCCGGUGUAGCGGUGAAAUGCGUAGAGAUCGGGAGGAAUACCAGUGGCGAAGGCGGCCUUCUGGACUGACACUGACGCUGAGGUACGAAAGCGUGGGUAGCAAACAGGAUUAGAUACCCUUGUAGUC